rnacentral:rRNA from 1 species
AUUGAACGCUGGCGGCAUGCCUUACACAUGCAAGUCGAACGGCAGCACGGGAGCAAUCCUGGUGGCGAGUGGCGAACGGGUGAGUAAUAUAUCGGAACGUGCCCAGUCGUGGGGAUAACGUAGCGAAAGCUACGCUAAUACCGCAUACGAUCUAUGGAUGAAAGCGGGGGAUCGCAAGACCUCGCGCGAUUGGAGCGGCCGAUAUCAGAUUAGGUAGUUGGUGAGGUAAAGGCUCACCAAGCCGACGAUCUGUAGCUGGUCUGAGAGGACGACCAGCCACACUGGGACUGAGACACGGCCCAGACUCCUACGGGAGGCAGCAGUGGGGAAUUUUGGACAAUGGGCGCAAGCCUGAUCCAGCAAUGCCGCGUGCAGGAUGAAGGCCUUCGGUUGUAAAC